rnacentral:lncRNA from 1 species
GCAGGAGAUGAUGGUGAACACUGGCGACCUAGGCCAGGACCUCGAGCACUGCCUGCAGCUCUGCAGGUGGCUUCACAAGUUCCAAGGCACCAAGAGCGUCGUGGGUGAUGCCCACAUCAGGACCAUCAAUGAGCUGGCGCUGCAGCUCAAGAGCCAGGACCCUGAGGAAGCCAAGAUCAUCUGCCAGCGGCGAAGCCAGC